GCCUGGGUGGCUCAGUUGUUGAGCAUCUGACUUUGGCUCAGGUCAUGACUCCAGAGUCCUGGGAUCAAGCCCCACUUCGGGUU
rnacentral:tRNA from 1 species